AAAGUCGUAACAAGGUUUCCGUAGGUGAACCUGCGGAAGGAUCAUUAUUGAAAUCCUUUGGAUGCUGCUGGCCUUUUGGGGCAUGUGCACUCCGCCUUUUCAUCUCACCUGUGAACUCAUUGUAGGCCUGAUUUGUUUUACAAAUCUGUGUCUAUGUUAUUUUACACACACACACACACAAGUCUCUCAGAAUGUCUCUCAAAGACCCUUUAGUGGUCAAAAAAAUAUUAAUACAACUUUCAACAAUGGAUCUCUUGGUUCUC
rnacentral:misc_RNA from 1 species